rnacentral:rRNA from 1 species
UACGUAGGGUGCAGGCGUUAAUCGGAAUUACUGGGCGUAAAGCGUGCGCAGGCGGUUUGCUAAGACAGGUGUGAAAUCCCCGGGCUUAACCUGGGAACUGCGCUUGUUACUGGCAGGCUUGAGUGUGGCAGAGGGGGGUGGAAUUCCACGUGUAGCAGUGAAAUGCGUAGAGAUGUGGAGGAACACCGAUGGCGAAGUCAGCCCCCUGGGCUAACACUGACGCUCAUGCACGAAAGCGUGGGGAGCAAACAGG